CGUCACAGCACAGUCGACAGGGACGGUUACUCUUGUCCCAGUUGGGCAGCUCUUGCCUGGCAUCAACAGGAUUCACGCCGUCACUGCUCUCGAUCACUUU